rnacentral:rRNA from 1 species
GAAAGCCCCGCAAGGGGUUCAGUAGAGUUGUGCAAACGGGUGAGUAACACGUGGGUGACCUGCCUUCGAGUGGGGGAUAACGUCCCGAAAGGGACGCUAAUACCGCAUGACAUCCUGCUUUUGGAAAAGCGGAGAUCAAAGCUGGGGAUCGCAAGACCUGGCGCUUGAAGAGGGGCCCGCGCCUGAUUAGCUAGUUGGUGAGGUAACGGGUCACCAAGGCAACGAUCAGUAUCCGGCCUGAGAGGGCGGACGGACACACUGGGACUGAGACACGGCCCAGACUCCUACGGGAGGCAGCAGUGGGGAAUUGUUCGCAAUGGGCUGCAAGCCUGACGACGCAACGCCGCGUGGAGGAUGAAGACCUUCGGGUCGUAAACUCCUUUCGAUCGAGACGAACGGCCUUGGAGUUAACAGCUUCGAGGAGUGACGGUACCGAGAGAAGAAGCCCCGGCUAACUCCGUGCCAGCAGCCGCGGUAAUACGGGGGGGGCAAGCGUUGUUCGGAAUUACUGGGCGUAAAGGGCUCGUAGGUGGCCAACUAAGUCAGACGUGAAAUCCCUCGGCUUAACCGGGGAACUGCGUCUGAUACUGGAUGGCUUGAGUUUGGGAAGAGGGAUGCGGGA